GCUGACCACUAUCAUCAGAUCUGAUACAAAGUAGGAGCAAUAAUGAAGUCUCUCGUCCUUGCUCCUUUUUGUCGGCACUGUUUAUCGCAGUGUCGGGUAGGAAUGUCCGAGUGUGCCCAGACGGCAGCUCCAUGGUCUACUGUUUCGUCGACCCAUGCGAAGUGAGCACGUGCAGCAACCCUGAAGCUAAGUGCUUCUCAAACUACUGCGGUGGAUGCAAUGUGGAGUGGACUCUACCAAAUGGCUCUAUCGACAAAAAUUGUUAACUA